GCAAAGUAGGCUAAGGGAAACAAAUCAGACGCACACACAAACCAUCUGGAUCCAACAGAGAAAGAUGAUUUUCUGUGGUGUUUUAAAUCUUUGACCUGGAUAUGAGUUUGAAAGGUGUGCACGAUGGAUGUUUCUGAGGAGAGAGAGGACGAUGUUUCUACCUUAAAGGCUGCUCUGUCUGAGCAAAAUGAUGGAGGGACAGGAAAAAAUAGCCAAGUGACCCAGGAGAGAAUGGACUCACCUGUACCUGGAGUUUAUUUGAGGCAUGAUCGAUCUAUGAGGAAACACGUAACAUUUAAGGAUAGAGACAAGUCAAGAGAUAAUAAUGAACAACACUCUGUUGAGCAAAGUGAAGUGAACCAAGAAAGACCGGACUCACCUGUAACUGGUGUUUCCUACAGAAGUGAUCGGUCUAUGAGUGA